rnacentral:rRNA from 1 species
UACGAAAGGAGCAGGUGUUAUUCAGAUUAACUGGGCGUAAAGGGGCAACGUAGGUGGUUUGUUUAUGUGUAUUAUUAAAUUGUAAAAGCAUAACUUUAUAACGUAUUACAGACAACAAAACUUAGAGUUAGGUAGAGGGUAGUAGAAUUUCUAAUGUAAAGGUGAAAUUUGAUAAAAUUAGAGAGAAUACCAAUGGCGCAAGCAACUAUCUGGUCCUUAACUGAUACUGAGGUGCGAAGGUAUGGGGAGCGAAUAGG